UUUGAGUUGUCAGAUUUCAUUGGAAUUAGACUGUUGUAUCUGUAUUGUGAUCGAUUCUACAAAUGGGUUUGUUAUAUAGGUGUUCUUUGUGGACUGAUUGUUACUUUCUUACUAAUGUUCUAUAGUGAUUGCAGGAACUUCCGGGCACAAUUACUAGCUAAUGCACAGGCUGCAGCAGCUAAUGAGAACAACAAGAAGCAAGUUUAUGUUAACGUGAAUGAACUUGUGGUGGUUAAAAGGGAUGAGGCACCCAAGCCAGUGCAAAAGAAAGUAGUUAAUAUCAUGUUGAAGCCCAAGGAGAUAAUCGAAAUCAGUCCGGACACAAGAAGGCUUGAUUGAAAAGGCUAAGCAUGAGAAGAAGAAAGAAGGAGCUUCAAAGAAGAAAGCAGCACCAACUCUCACUUCAGUCCUUACUGCUAGAAGCAAGGCUGCUUGUGGUUUGACUAAUAAACCAAAGGAAGUGAUUGUUGAUAUUGAUGCCAAAGAUGCUGGUAAUGACUUGGCUGCUGUUGAAUGUAGUGCAAAGAUGGCCUUGCUUAUGGAAUGGUAUACAAUGACUCUGUUACUUAUUCGCAAGCCUUUUGUUUUGUAUAUGGAGAAGUUUAGGCCAUAUGUCCCCUUCUCCCUACUCUUUGUACUCUUUUGAUCAAAAAUAGUAUUAAUGAGAAUUUUCUUUUGGUUACCACUUGUAUUCUCAUUGUGAUAAUUUUCUAGUGAAGAAACUGAU